UGUGGCGUCGUUUAGUAUAGAGAUAGAGAGAUAGAGUUGGCGUUAGCGAGAAGGAGAGGCCAGUAUUAGUCACAUAUCUCCAAAAACCAAAGCAACCCUUAUCCUCCCUUUUUUAUAUAUCUUCUCUUCAACCUCUCUUACUCAAGUCUCUCUUUCUCUCUCUAUCUCUCUCGGAAUCUACGCUCCAAGGAUCAAAAUGGCACCGAGGCCAAGCAAGGGCAAGUCAAACAGAGGAAAAGGAGAGAAGAAGAAGAGAGAAGAGAAAGUGUUGGUGCCGAGUCUGGUUGAUAUCACAGUCACGACUCCUUACGAAACACAAGUGAUACUCAAAGGAGUCUCUACUGACAAGAUCAUUGAUGUGAAAAGGCUUCUGGCAUCUCAUGCUGACACUUGCCACCUCACCAACUAUUCCCUCUCGCAUCAGGUGAAAGGGCAUAGAUUGAGUGAUAACAUCCAAGUGGUUACCCUCAAGCCUUGUGUCCUCCGUAUGAUUCCAGAGGACUACGUGGAGGAAAGUCAAGCUUUGACUCAGGUGCGGAGAGUCCUAGACAUCGUAGCGUGCACCACCAGGUUCUCCUCCGUCUCCAAAUCUUCUUCCAACAAACUCGUCGCCGUCGGAAAUGGAAAUCCGGCAGCGGAGGGACUGAACAUGGUCGCUAUCCACCCGACGCCCAAGCUCUCUCAAUUUUACAAGUUUUUCUCCAUUCCCAACGUCUCUCCUCCGAUUCUUCAGUUGAAGAAAGUGGAUGGUGAAGAAGCUGGAGAGAGGCGUGAUGGUGACUAUUUUGAACUUAAGGUUAAAAUAUGCAAUGGGAAGGUUAUACAUGUGGUUGCAUCUGUUAAAGGUUUCUUUGCCGUUGGGAAGCAUCUCUCUCAUACCCAUUCCAUUGUUGAUUUGCUUCAGAAUGUCAGCAAUGCUUUUGCCAAGGCUUAUGAGUCCCUCAUGAAAGCUUUCACUGACCGGAACAAGUUUGGCAACCUUCCGUAUGGGUUACGCACAAACACGUGGCUUGUACCCCCUUCUGAGUCUUUAUCAACCUUCUCCCCUUUACCAACAGAGGAUGAAAACUGGGGAGGGAACGGUGGAGGCCAGGGGAGGAAUGGUGAACAUGAUCUUCGUCCCUGGGCGGCUGAGUUUUCUGUGUUAGCUACGCUUCCUUGCAAGACUGAGGAGGAGAGGGUUAUUCGUGAUAAGAAGGCUUUUCUGCUUCAUAACCUGUUUGUUGAUGCCUCUGUUCGAAGAGCUGUUAGAGCCAUUUCCGACGUGAUUGGUACUAAUCAACGCACAAGUGGAACUAGUGACUUCCCUGCAGGCUCCAUCCUUCUUGAAGAUCGGGUUGGAGAUUUGUCUAUUAUUGUAAAACGUGAUGUAGCCGGCCUUGACCAGAAUCCUAAAGGUGCAUUUCAAAAUGAAGCAUUUCCUUUGUCAUCCAAGGAACUUAGUGAAAGGAAUCUGCUAAAAGGGAUAACAGCUGAUGAGAGUGUCAUUGUUCACGAUAUUUGGGCUUUAAGCACAGUUAUUGUAAAGCACUGUGGAUAUACAGCGGUGGUAAAUGUCAAGGGCGAAACUAAGAAGGGAAUGGCUGAUUUACGUGAUAUUAUGAUCGAUGACUUACCGGAUGGAGGAGCUAAUGCUCUUAACCUUAACAGCUUAAGGGUUCAGCUUCACAGGUCCCAUAGUGUCGGAAAAUCUGGAGGGAACCAGCCUCCACAGUUUGAUUUGGAUGAUUUAGAGUCUUUUAGAUGUUUGGUACAUGAACUAGUUAAAAAUAACCUAACGAAGUUAGAAGAAGAAAGGGAAUCUUCCGAAAGGUCCAUCAGAUGGGAGCUCGGUUCUUGCUGGGUUCAGCAUCUACAAAAGAAAGAAACAGUAACGGAAGAUCUCUGUGGGAAGCCUGCAAUGAAUGGUGAGACCGACCUUUCAGUCAAAGGUUUGGGGAAACAAUUUAAAGUUCUAAAGAUGAAAAAUAAGAAAUCAGAAAAUACAAGUACCGUGAAGGGAAAGGAAGAAAAUAUCAGUCUACGCGAGUUAGAUGGGGAGGCUGAUCAACACUUUGAGGCUGAACUGAAGGAACUGGUUUCUGAAGAAGCUUUCUCUCGCCUAAAAGAAAGUGGAACUGGUCUCCAUUUAAAGUCAAAAGAAGAGCUUACCAAGAUGGUAUAUGGAUACUAUGAUGAAAUUGCUUUGCCAAGGCUGGUAGCAGAUUUUGGAUCCCUGGAGCUUUCUCCAGUUGAUGGCCGCACAAUGACAGACUUCAUGCAUAUUAGAGGACUCCAAAUGCGUUCUCUAGGACAUGUGGCUAAACUUGCUGAGGACCUUCCUCACAUACAGUCCCUCUGUAUUCAUGAGAUGAUUACGAGAACUUUCAAGCAUCUUCUUAGGGCGGUUAUUGCAUCUAUCAAUAAGAUGGCAGAGCUACCUGGGGCUAUAGCUGCGUCAUUAAAUUUCAUGCUUGGCCUCCAUGGAUUGGAAGGGAGUGAUGGAAUCUCCAGUGAAGAGUCUUGUCUCAGAUUACAGUGGCUACAGAAAUUUCUCUCCACUAGAUUUGGUUGGAUACAGAAAGAUGAGUUCAAGCAUUUGAAUAAAGUUUCCAUUCUCCGAGGACUUUGCCAGAAGGUUGGGUUAGAACUAAUUCCAAGAGAUUAUGACUUCGAUUCUCCAAAUCCCUUUAAGAGCUCUGAUGUUUUUGGCUUGAUACCUGUGUGCAAGCAUGUGCUAUGCGUUUCAUCUGACGGAAGGACACUCUUGGAGUCAUCAAAACUUGCUCUUGACAAAGGAAAACUAGAUGAUGCUGUCAACCAUGGAACAAAGGCAUUAGCCAAGAUGAUUGCUGUCUGUGGACCUUAUCAUAAAAAUACUGCUUGUGCGUACAGUCUUCUAGCCGUUGUACUGUACCACACUGGCGAUUUUAACCAGGCAACUAUAUAUCAACAGAAGGCUCUGGAUAUAAAUGAAAAAGAACUUGGUCUCGACCAUCCCGACACUAUGAAAAGCUAUGGGGAUCUUUCUGUAUUUUAUUAUCGCCUUCAGCACAUUGAGUUGGCACUGAAAUAUGUGAACCGUGCUUUGUUUCUUCUUCAUUUCACUUGUGGGCUAUCUCACCCGAAUACUGCUGCCACAUAUAUUAAUGUGGCUAUGAUGGAGGAAGGAGUAGGGAACGUUCAUCUAGCUCUAAGAUACCUACAUGAAGCUCUAAAGUGCAAUAAAAGAUUGCUAGGAGCUGACCAUAUUCAGACAGCAGCAAGCUAUCAUGCAAUAGCUGUGGCUCUCUCUCUCAUGGAAGCGUAUUCAUUGAGUGUGCAUCAUGAACAGACUACACUUCAGAUACUUACAAAAACACUUGGAUCAGAUGACCUUCGUACACAGGAUGCUGCUGCAUGGCUUGAAUAUUUUGAAUCAAGAGCCAUAGAGCAGCAGGAAGCAGCUCGAAAUGGAAUCCCAAAGCCUGAUGCUUCCAUUGCGAGCAAAGGCCACCUUAGUGUAGAAGAUCUUAUGGACUAUAUAAGUUCUGAUCCAGACAAUAAAGGAAGUGUUGUUCACAGAAAACUGCGGCGUCUCACUGUUUCACCGGUCAGUGAUAGUGGUGCAUCAGCUGAUGAUGCUACCCACUCCGUUGCUUCACAGCAUGGCAUGGCUACAUUGAACGACGUGGUAGAAACAAAUGUCACUGAGAGUAAGAACGAAGUAAAUGAUCCUAAUGCCGUUGUGGAUGAGGUCGACAUAGAGACGGGUGAUACUUUAGUACACAGGCUAAAUGUAGACAACCAAACUGUGGAAGAGUCAGCUUUAGGUGAGGGCUGGCAAGAGGCUUACCCAAAGGGGAGAUCCGGAAAUGGUGCUGGAAAGAAAUUUAAACAAAGGCAGCCUUAUCAGAGAGUGUCGCUUAAUAGAAAUCUCAAUGGAAGACAGGAUGUUCAUCAACAGUAUAUAGCUUCUCCCCUGCAGAAAACGACUCCAAGACCCUCACUCUCUAAGCCAUCAUCUCUUAGGGCUCUGAAGAAUGGAGAGAUAGAUGUCAGUACAAAAACAAUUAAGCCACAAAUAAAGUCUCCUGGUUAUGCUGCGGCGACCAGUACUACUUUGGCUUCAAAGUCACUCUCAUACAAAGAGGUUGCUUUGGCACCACCAGGUACAGUUCUGAAGCCGAUGUUAGAAAAAUUAGAACUGAAUUUGGAAAGAACUGAAACUCAGAUAUACAGGAUCUCAAGUUCAUCAACCGGAGAAGAAAGCAAGUCUGAUGCUGUAAUGUCGGCUUUGCCAACGGAAGGCACAGAGCUCCCCUGUGAAAAAGAAGAAUCAGAAGAAAGUGUUGAGUCAGUAGAAAAUCUAACGUCAGAGCCUGAAGAGGAUUUAGUGUCCUGUCGUGAGCAAAAGGCUUCUGAUAUCAGCAGGAGAAAGCUGUCGGCCGCCGCAGAGCCGUACAAUCCUGGAGGUUUCUUGGUUACUGAUCCGCAUAGUCUGGUUGCAGAGCCUAUUUCCGGAACUGGAAUUCAUUCACCACCAUAUUACGGUGCUAACUACCCAAAUGGAAAUGGAAUGCCAAAAACCAUGAAUCCGGAUGCACCAGAGUUCGUUCCGAGGAGAUCCGUGAUGAAAAGCUCUCUACAUGAAGGUGGAGAUGCAAGUGUAUCCGUUGACUCCAGCAGUGGCCUAGAGGCUGAGAAAAACGCAGCUGCGUUGAAGAAGGAAGAGCUGGCGAGGCAGAUACUACUUAGCUUCAUCGUAAGUUCAUCCCAGGAGGAGGUUGUAGCAUCUAAGAAGAAGGAAAACAAGCCUAAAGAUGACUUGGCAGAUACCUCUGCAAAAGAUAGUACAGUAACAGAGAUAGUUUACAGAAGAGAAGAGGACAGUGGAGUGAAGGAAAGUGAGACGGAUGGAGGUGAAGGGUUUGUGAUUGUUGCGAAGAAGAGGAGGAAGAAGCGACUUACCAACGAUGCAGCUGGGAUUUACCAUCAACCGUCGUCCGUUUGUGCUUGAUCUGAUAAGUGGAUUUGAUCAAGCUAACAAAAUAAAGCUUCUUUGUUAAGCAGAGUAUACUCAUCUCAUUUGGCUUAUUGGAUUUCUUUUCAGGUUUGGGUGGUUCUGUUCUUAUGUAUGAUACACGUUAGACCUGUUGGUGCUGCAAAAAUUUCACAAGCAAGCCAUCCAAGCCCGAACAGUGCGAGGCAGACUUGGAUCACCAACACAGGCGAUAAAAGAUAGUCCCAACGUUUCAGUAACGCGACCCAGUUUUACCGCAAUGGAGAAAAGAAAAAAUUGCAAUAACGAUUGCUAAAAUGUAGCUGGCAUUCAUUCACACACGUCUCAACCAUUAACCAUUUCUUGUUGAUAA